rnacentral:lncRNA from 1 species
AAAGAGUAAUGAGACUUAUCUCCAUAUUCUCCCAUCGGUUUCUCAACUAGAUCUGAAAAAUGCUACAGGCAGCCAUAUGAAGAGCACCGGAAUGCAAAGCCUAGUCUAAGCAGAAGUCCUUCUGACCUGGCCCACCACAGGGCUGGUCUUAGGUGUAUCUCCUGGAAGCCACCCACUCAUGGUGUGUCUGCAUUUCCCACCUUCCUUCUACUCCUUUCAGUUAGUGAUAUUUGUGACUCUGCAAUCGUAUCACUGGUGGGACCUCAUUAACUCAUGAAUUGGGUGACUUUGCAAGAAAAAGAAACUUUUCAAGAGAUAUAUUACCAUUUCUCAAAGAACAGGCUACAAGAAGAGUUUGAGAUGAGCUGAAGCAACCUAUAUCUGGAAAUGAAUCACUGCAGCCAGAAGAGGUCAAAAAUGACAAAACAGAAGCCUGGGAGCUGCCUGCCUGG